UUUUUAUUAUUAAAUACAUUCUUUUGUAAAACUCCAAAGUUGUAUGUUGUGCUUCGUAUUCGAGAAAGAGCGAUGGCAACGGUACAAAACCCAACACAGGCAAUGUAUAAAAUGACCACACCUAGCAGAAAUUGCACCAUUUAGCGUGAAUUCCGUCAGGAGACACAAAUCUGACCGAAAUACAAAACAACCCACCCGCCCACCCAGAAAUUCGUCCAGUUCCGGCGCUUCUAUUGCCGCGCAACCUUUCCACAUCUGUUCAGACCCAUAUUUUCAUCCCAAUACCUUCAUUGAACUGAACAGAUGAGGCGAGUGUUGCUGAAUAGAUUACUAUUCUAAGUGCAAUCAUGCGUGGCAUCCAGAGCCGUAGCGAGGGGGGGGGGGAUAACACCCCCCUGAUAAUUGCUCGCAUGAGCAAUUUCAGGUAGAUUUGCAGAAGAAAUUCGGGUAAAUUAACGCAAACUCAGGUAAUUCCUAGGACAAGGGAA